rnacentral:rRNA from 1 species
ACACGCUGGCGGCGUGCCUAACACAUGCAAGUCGAACGAGAAAGUGGAGCAAUCCAUGAGUAAAGUGGCGACCGGGUGAGUAACACGUGACUAACCUACCUCCGAGUGGGAAAUAACUCCGGGAAACCGGGGCUAAUACCGCAUAACAUCGCAAGAUCAAAGCAGCAAUGCGCUUGGAGAGGGGGUCGCGGCUGAUUAGCUAGUUGGCGGGGUAACGGCCCACCAAGGCGAAGAUCGGUAUCCGGCCUGAGAGGGCGCACGGACACACUGGAACUGAAACACGGUCCAGACUCCUACGGGAGGCAGCAGUGGGGAAUUUUGCGCAAUGGGGGAAACCCUGACGCAGCAACGCCGCGUGGAGGAUGAAGCCCUUUGGGGUGUAAACUCCUUUCGACUCGGACGAUAAUGACGGUACGAGUGGAAGAAGCACCGGCUAACUCUGUGCCAGCAGCCGCGGUAAUACAGAGGGUGCGAGCGUUGUUCGGAAUUAUUGGGCGUAAAGGGCGCGUAGGCGGUGCGGUAAGUCACCUGUGAAAUCUCCUGGCUUAACUGGGAGCCUGCAGGCGAAACUACCGUGCUGGAGUGUGGGA